rnacentral:misc_RNA from 1 species
GGAAGCCUUGUUUUGCAGAUGCCAAUCAGAGAGGCCUGCCAUGUUGCUGUUCAGAGAAGUCAUCCUAGCAAACAAAAGCUAUGGAAACAUGCUCAAGCGCGUCAACAAGUAAAAGGACAAGGACCGGUUCCUGUGGUGCAAAUUGUAUCCUUUGGGUCUGAAUUGAGCAACCGUGCCCCAACCUUUGACAUGAAUUUGACAGACUUCUUGGAUGACGGGAAACCAAUAUCAUACGAAAAGGCUAACAAUUACUUUGCGCAAGAUCCAUCUCAAAAGUGGGCAGCAUAUGUUGCUGGAACCAUCCUCGUCUUGAUGACUGAGCUGGGGGUCCGCUUUACUGAUAGCAUAAGUAUACUGGUUUCUUCUGCUGUUCCGGAGGG